ACGGGCAAUUGUAAGAUGAGGAACCUGGCCUCGAGUGCUUGAACGACGCCUUCAAUACGCUGUGCUUCCCAAACACACAUGACCAUUACCGAGACCCCCGACCUCAGACCCCGGCUCCCACGGUCCCCGGACACCUUCCCCGGAGCCUCGGGGCCUCCGAGCUACAACGCGGAACCCCCGCUGCCCUGCACGUCUCCUCCGCCCCCGACCCCGGCGCCCGCCUCCCAAACAGCACCACCAGCGACCACGGCACCCGGUCAGACACCCGGAACCCGUCCUACACUCCUCCACCUCCGACUUGAUUGGGCGGAAAGCCAUGUCAGUUCCAGCUCCCUGAAUACAACUCCAGGUGGUUUCCUGCUAUCGAUCUUUAGGCUGGCAGGCACUUUUUCGGACAUGCGAGCAUCCCUCUGCCCAGCCUCAGCGCGGUGCAAGUUUCGUCCUCACAGCAGUCCUACAGGGUGACAGCAUCACCCUCACCCACAGACGAGGACCCCGAGGCGAGGAGCGGCCGCGCGGACUCACGCAGGCUCACAACACCCGGAAGCGGCAGUGCCACCAUUGGAACCCAGAUGUGUCCGACCCCAAAUCAGGACGGGAGCGCCGCUCCCCUCGGUCCACCCGACAAGCCCACCCACGCUCGUUCUCCUAGGGAACCCCACUUCCUGUGGAAAGCCCGCAGCCGUCCGGGCGCCGUCCGAGCGGCUGUGCCCCCGAUGACCGGGCUUCCAGUACACCCCUGCUUGUGUCCUCACCGGCCCCCGGCCCACGGCGCCCGCCCAGUGACCGUGAGCCAUCCACGGGGGCCUCUCUGCGCCCUGUACUGGUCAGGAGCGGGUAAACGAACGCUGCCAGCCUUUCCCAAGGCCGAAACAGCAGCUCUCAGGACCAGCCCGGCGUCUGGGCGCCCGGCACAGGCCUGUCAGCAGUCAGACGGGCGGGUCUGGAACUGCCGCGCAGGAAGAAGCGGAGCCCAGAGAUGCAGUGACCGCUCAGACUCCGGUCAGGGCACAGCCUCGCCCACAGCCCCGCCCAGGGGCUGGCACAGCCUCCGAAGGCGGUGCCUCCUCCAGGCCACCCCAGCCAACGGCGCUUCACUCCCCGGUAACUGACUCAGCUCAUGGGGUGAAGGGGAACGCUGGGCACGGCGCCUCAGGAAUAAAAGGGGAAGGCUGCGGUACGGGGCGUGGACAUGCAUGUCGACAUUAAAAAGUGGUGUCCAGGUCACACGCAAGGGGACUUACCACGCGUCGCCAUAA